AAAAAAAAUAAAAAGAAAUUCUAGAGGCCACUGGCUGGCCAACGAACUCACAAGUGUCAGUAGUGUUCUACAUAAGGGGCAAGUCUUUCCCUAACACCAUGAGAGUCUCUGGUCCAGUGAGUGGAGUUUGAUAGUAAUUCUUGCCACAUGU
ensembl:snoRNA SNORA62 Small nucleolar RNA SNORA62/SNORA6 family